UCCUGCAACAGAAUUUGUUACAGUUAUCCUCUCUUCUCUUCUUUGGAAGGAAUCUCAUCAAUAAUAUCUUAAAAACAUCCUCGUUACCUUAUCCCCUUUUCAGUUGAGAUUUGGCAUGUUUUCUGAUUUCUCAUGAACUCGUGAACAUCUGAAAUACUUUUAAAUUGAUUGCAGUUUUACUAAAAGCAGAUUCACGGCGUCCCUCCCAGACUGCUCAUGGUCAAAGAACAUACCAAGGCCACUUCUCAGUAUGGUCAGAGAUUCACAGACCUGCCUGAGUUUUACAUUCACCACACAUACUUUCAAGGCUCCUUUCUGUCCCUGUAAGAAAGAAGACAGACCUUCUGAUGCGCAG